rnacentral:rRNA from 1 species
UACGAGAGGCCCAAACGUUAUUCGGAAUUACUGGGCUUACAGAGUUCGUAGGCGGUCUGGAAAGUUGGGUGUGAAAUCCCUCGGCCUAACCGAGGAACUGCGCUUGAAACUACCAGACUCGAGGGGGAUAGAGGAAAGCGGAACUGAUGGUGGAGCGGUGAAAUGCGCUGAUAUCAUCAGGAACACCGGUGGCGAAGGCGGCUUUCUGGGUCUUACCUGACGCUGAGGAACGAAAGCCAGGGGAGCGAACGGG